GGUCAACUUAGUAAUCGGUUAUAACCUAUCUUUAAUUUUUAUAAACUAAUAUUGUUAAUAAUUAAUUUUUUCUGCUUAUUUAAUCAAUCAAUUGUGUUACUGUAAUAUGUUAUAAAGAGAAAUUCGUCAAGAAAAUAUUGGUAGUAUUUCAUUUGGGCUAUUUAAAAUGCAUACGAGACGUUUAUUAUUCUUGCUGUGGGUAUUUUGGGAGAAGCAAAGCCUGAUAUAGGAGCUCGUAUAGUUGGCGGAAACGACGCUGCCCAAGGGUCAGCACUUCAUCAUGUAUCGAUCAGGUUGGGUUACAUCGAGGGUGUCCC